rnacentral:rRNA from 1 species
UAGGGAAUCUUCCACAAUGGACGCAAGUCUGAUGGAGCAACGCCGCGUGAGUGAAGAAGGCUUUCGGGUCGUAAAACUCUGUUAUUGAAGAAGAACGUGUGUGACAGUAACUGGUCAUGCAGUGACGGUAUUCAAUCAGAAAGUCACGGCUAACUACGUGCCAGCAGCCGCGGUAAUACGUAGGUGGCAAGCGUUGUCCGGAUUUAUUGGGCGUAAAGCGAGUGCAGGCGGUCUUUUAAGUCUGAUGUGAAAGCCUUCGGCUUAACCGAAGAAGGGCAUCGGAAACUGGGAGACUUGAGUGCAGAAGAGGAGAGUGGAACUCCAUGUGUAGCGGUGAAAUGCGUAGAUAUAUGGAAGAACACCAGUGGCGAAGGCGGCUCUCUGGUCUGUAACUGACGCUGAGGCUCGAAAGCGUGGGUAGCAAACAGGAUUAGAUACCCUGGUAGUCCACGCCGUAAACGAUGAAUGCUAAGUGUUGGAGGGUUUCCGCC